GACGAACGCUGGCGGCGUGCUUAACACAUGCAAGUCGAACGGAAAGGCCCUGCUUUUGUGGGGUGCUCGAGUGGCGAACGGGUGAGUAACACGUGAGUAACCUGCCCUGGACUUUGGGAUAACUUCAGGAAACUGGGGCUAAUACCGGAUAGGAGCUCCUGCUGCAUGGUGGGGGUUGGAAAGUUUCGGCGGUUGGGGAUGGACUCGCGGCUUAUCAGCUUGUUGGUGGGGUAGUGGCUUACCAAGGCUUUGACGGGUAGCCGGCCUGAGAGGGUGACCGGCCACAUUGGGACUGAGAUAUGGCCCAGACUCCUACGGGAGGCAGCAGUGGGGAAUAUUGCACAAUGGGCGGAAGCCUGAUGCAGCAACGCCGCGUGCGGGAUGACGGCCUUCGGGUUGUAAACCGCUUUCGCCUGUGACGAAGCGUGAGUGACGGUAAUGGGUAAAGAAGCACCGGCUAACUACGUG
rnacentral:rRNA from 1 species